AGAGAAGGAAGACCAAGGAAAUGAUUUGCUCAGGAUGAGGAAUGAAGAUGGCCAUCUUGAGCUCAAACAAACAGAAGUCCUCUGAUGAUCUCUUCAGCCAAACGAGGGGUUUUGACCAAGUGAUGCUCUUGAAAGGAGUGAAAGAAGAGGAUGUGGUAAAUUGUCUUCAGAGAAAAAGCUUCUCAAAAGGUCUUAAAACAGCUUGAAGAAUGGUCUGGGAUGUUAGGACUGAGAGAUCCUCUGGCUGAGAAAAGGCUACACCACAUCAGUGCUGGAUAUCAACCAAAAACUGUUUCCAGACACGAGAGAAGAAGAUCAUGAUGGGGAGAUGAAACCAGUUUAGAUGUGAUGAUGGGAAUCAUUAUUUUCUGGAACAGUAUCAAAUGUCUUAUAUGUAUCACAUGAUCUGUAUCACAGUUGACUGUAUGGGACUGUGUGACUUUUAAGGACAUUUCAUCACUCAUCUGUGUGAACUGAUUUAUAUAUGAGGUUAAUGUAUCUUUGAUGAUAAUUAUUUUCAUUGAAUCUUAUUUGUCUUGAUGCUACUUUAUCAACUUUAUAGUCUAUGCUUCAAUAAAAUGAAAAUGGUGAA